GAUGAACGCUAGCUACAGGCUUAACACAUGCAAGUCGAGGGCAGCAUGAAGUUUGCUUGCAAACUUUGAUGGCGACCGGCGGAUGGGUGAGUAACGCGUAUCCAACCUGCCCCCUUCCCGGGCACAGCCCUUGGAAACGAGGAUUAACUCCCGAUGGCGUCGCCUUAACGCAUGUUUCGGCGACCAAAUGUUUAAGGAAGGGGAUGGGGAUGCGUCCCAUUAGCUUGUUGGCGGGUAACGGCCCACCAAGGCUCCGAUGGGUAGGGGUUCUGAGAGGAAGGUCCCCCACACUGGAACUGAGACACGGUCCAGACUCCUACGGGAGGCAGCAGUGAGGAAUAUUGGUCAAUGGGCGCGAGCCUGAACCAGCCAAGUAGCGUGAAGGAUGACUGCCCUACGGGUUGUAAACUUCUUUUAUAGGGGGAUAAAGUCGCAUACGAGUAUGUGAUUGCAGGUACCCUAUGAAUAAGCAUCGGCUAACUCCGUG
rnacentral:rRNA from 1 species